GCGGGGAGUGCCGACGGGACGGAGUUAGGGGCGGGGGCCGGGGGUGGGCCGGGGUAGGCGGCUUCCCGCGCGCCCGAGAGGGGGGAGAGGCUCCGUGGCUCUCUCCGCGGCUCCGCCCGGGCCUCCGCGGUGGCUCUCGCUAGCUCGCGGCGGCGGCCGCCGUCUCCCGGCGGAGCAGAGCGGGCCUUGGGCGGCCGCUGCGACUGGAGGCCGGACUGCCGGGCCCCGGGUGCGAGGGGGGCGGCGGGGUCCAGGGGCGGGGAAUGGUGAGGUGGCGUCGGUCCGCCCUCCCCGGAGACGCGGAGCGUGUUUGUGUUUAUAUCGGACUCCCCGCCCUCCCCCCGCUCCCCAGCCCGCCCGCCGGGGAAGGCGCCCUCAGCAUCCUCGCUCCUUCCCUCCGCCGGGAUCGGGUCGGCCGCAUUCCCCGCCGCCGCCGGCGUUGUUGAAUGGUGGCGGUGAAAAUUGCUCUGCCUGGUUCAGGCCACCGAACACUGCUUCACUGCUGCAACGGGAGAAUUCAGGACUUUCUUAAGGCUUGAAAAUGGACCUUGUUCUAACCACCUCACAAGUUUUGAAUACUGUAAAGAGUGAUAAAAUUGAAAUCAUUUCCCAAAAGGAUCUAAUAUGAAGAUUUUGUUACCUUGAAUAAAGUCUUUUACUUUGAAAUGGAAAAGACAUUUUCAUAGUAAAUAUGUGACGUGUGAUUAUUAGUAGAAAAUAAACGUUCUUGAAAGUGCUUUAGUAAAUUUCUUUAGUAAAAAAUUAAAGGGUAAAAUGACUCAAACCAUUUAGCUUGACUCUAAAUUGG